UACAGAGGUCUCGAGCGUUGUUCGGAUUCAUUGGGCGUAAAGGGUGCGUAGGUGGCGCCGUAAGUCGGGUGUGAAAUUUCGGAGCUUAACUCCGAAACUGCAUUCGAUACUGCGGUGCUUGAGGACUGGAGAGGAGACUGGAAUUCCCGGUGUAGCGGUGAAAUGUGUAGAGAUCGGGAGGAACACCGGUGGCGAAGGCGGGUCUCUGGGCAACAACUGACGCUGAGGAGCGAAAGCGUGGGGAGCGAACAGG
rnacentral:rRNA from 1 species